rnacentral:guide_RNA from 1 species
UAUCAACAACAGUGAAAAGUCAACGAGAUUAGAGAUAGAAUUAUAAU